GGUUAGGUUGGGUUGAAUAGGUUUAAUAUUGGGAAAGUUUCGGAACAUUUUGUUAAAUUAAUAUUUAUUAGGUUGAGGCCUCAACUAUCCUAAAUUUUUCAUUGUACACUUAUAAUUUUAUAAUUUAACAUGAGUCAACAUAUAGCAACAUGAAAUAUCUAAAUAAUUUCUAUGAAAAAUAAAUAGGAAUUAUUUAUUUAUUUAUUUAUUUAUAAGGUUUGGUAGGGCUUAGGUUGGGUUGUGAUUGGCUUAGAGUUUAGGGUUUAGAGUUACAGUUGGGCUCAUAUUGGGUCUAACUCAACCCCCAACUCAAUUGAGCUGGAGAACAAGUUGGGAUUUUUUAACUUACCCAAUUGCACCCCUAUGUUGUAAUAUUGCAACACCAUAAGGGCACAAAUUAUUUGCAAUCAACAAUAUAAUUCGCAUUUGCAUUCUUUUAAAUAGAGUCAUUUAACUUAGGUGAGUUGUGAUGAUAACUAGUAGCUUGUAAGACCAUGGUUGAAUUGUAAUGGUUUAUAAGCUACUAUACCCAAAAAAAUCACAUUGCAGAAUGCAUUUGACUUGCAUUUGUAUACUAUUAGCAUAGAACACCAUGGUUAAGUAUUGAAAGGUUACUCUCAUAUCCCAAAUUUCAUUUUUGUUUACUAAAAUUUGUAUUUUAGCAUUAUCCCUGCUGCUGCUUCUAAACUAGGGCAAAAAAAGUGAAGCUAAGCAUAAAAUACAAAAUGAAUCUUACUCAAUAUUUGGUAAAUCUACUGCAUAUCUCAAAGAUGAUAUGCUAAAACAAGGAACAGAAAUGGGCUUGGAGUUCGGUAUCUUUUCUCCAUAAACAAUAAGUGAUGGGACAGGAUUUUGUCAAUAUCUAACCUAGAUCAAAUCUGAGGUUGUUAACUGGCCACAUUCCAAGAGUGAGCCUGAUACAACCUUGCCCUCGAGGAAGUGUAGUCCAAUCCCAACCUGAAUUAGAUUUUUUUAAAGCUUGCCCAAAUGUUAGACUCCUUGUUGGCCUCAAUCCCAAAAAUUGCCUCCUUCAAGCCUAUCUUAGCCGGACUCAAUUGUCUCAGCAAGUAGUCAUGGCUCAAACCGUCAAUGAACUCCUCAAAUUGGUUUUGUAUAUGAUAAAAUCGAUAACAAUAAGAAGAAAAUUCAUAAUCAGCAAAGUUGAUGUCCAAGGAGCAGCAGACAAGCAUAUUCUUGUUCCAGGUUAAUCUUGGGUCUGAGCACGAUUGGCCCUUAAUUGGCCUGAAGUACUUUGCUGCCUAUAGAGGGGGAUGAGAGCUUUUACUCUCCUAUUUUCCUCCAAAGUAACAAUUGACCAGCAAUCAGCCACCUUCUUAUUAUGAGGAUGGAUCCCACUUCAUUAUUGAAUAGAUAAGCCUAGCAUUCUUGGUUACAAAACAUAAAUGCAAAAUUUGAUACCAACAACUUUGUUCGAGGGUCUUUCUACAAACAUUUUUUGGUGGACAAACAUGUCGUUCCACACAAACCUGCAACCUUUGGGCUCUUAUAAUGAGCAAUAUAACAACAAUUAUAAAAGAAAUCAUAAGAAUAAACAAAUCAAAAAUCAAGAUAAGGAUUCAUGCAGUUUGGCGAAACACAUCCAUGGGAAGACAAUGCAAAUGAUGAAGAUUACCAAGUUACAAGGGGAGACAUCAACUCGACUAUGAACAUGAGAAUGCAUAAAAGUGUCUCUUAGCUCACUAAUUUUGGGAAAAACAGCACUCAAGACCAGCCCUUGAGGAUGGAACGAGUUUUUUUUUCUUGAAUAAGCUCCCAAAUGCUCCAAGAGCCCCCUAGGAAAUGAGCUGCUUCCUUUUCUCCAUUUAUCUCUUUUCUCCCUCGUUCUUAUUUAUUUUUCUACAACCUUCAACCCUCUCUAACACAAUGUUUGGAUUGACCGGCAAAAGAGGAAGAGAAGAGAGAAAAGCUCGUUAAGUUAUAUUCUCCGUUUGGAUAGUUAAAUAAGGUGAGAAGACAAGAAGUUACAUUCUCCUGUUAGGAUAGUUAAUGAGGAAAGAAGAGAAGAGAAACUAAGAGAUGAGGUUCCUCUCCUAACCCACCUUUUGUUUCACUCCAAAAACAAAAAGAUUUGGAGAGACGAGAAACUAUCUUUCACUUCUCUUCCUUUCUUUAGUGUCCAAAGUUCUCUUCUCUUUUUUUCCCUUCUUUUCUUUCCUCCCCUAUGUAUCCAAACAGGAUAAGUCAAAACCAAGCAGGGUAUGAUAAAUCAGGGUAGGUAAGUGAUGUAAGAUAAAAAGAGUAAGCCAACUAACUUGCCAUGGGUUAACACUAAACCCCAACACUCCUUUCAUGUUAGUGAUGGACCGAUCUGGUAAGAUUUCAAUUUGAGUCCAAGACGAACUCCUAAAAGAAUGACAAUCCAUGUCAAAUUCCCAUCAUAUCAUAAGAUCCACUAAUUGGCCAACUGGUAAUUUGCACCAAACUAUCAAUAUUUCGGCAACCCAAAUAGAGUAUGUUGUAACAGAACAAAAUGACAUCAAUCUCUUUCAUUCUUUUAGAACCCUUUUGGAACCUAUCCAAAUAAAGUUGCUUUAUAGAUGACUGCAUCAAUUGUAUUUGCUUAACAAAACUCCUUGAGUUUAAUAAUAUUGCCUAAACUCAAGAUAUAGACCUAUAUUGUUUUACACUGGAUGAAGCACAAGAAAUGAAAUAGCACUUACCUUUGGUUCUAAUAGCCUACACAUUGCUAUAUUAGAUCUGAAUCUCACUUCGGCUUUGUAGAAUGCAAUGCAACUUUUCCGAUUUGAUAUUUGUGGCAUACAAAAUGCUUGAGCCACAUAUAUUACUGUACAAGAAAACAAACAUGGCCUAGUGCCCCCCCCCCU
rnacentral:lncRNA from 1 species